UACGUAGGGACCGAGCGUUGUCCGGAUUCAUUGGGCGUAAAGAGCUCGUAGGCGGCUGUUCAAGUCGAACGUGAAACUCGGAGCUCAACUCCGAGCCUGCGUUCGAUACUGGACGGCUAGAGUCUGGUAGGGGAUCGUGGAAUUCCUGGUGUAGCGGUGGAAUGCGUAGAUAUCGAGAGGAACACCUGCGGCGAAGGCGGGUAGCUGGGCCGACACUGACGCUGAGGCGCGAAAGCCAGGGAGGCGAACGGG
rnacentral:rRNA from 1 species